rnacentral:rRNA from 1 species
GACGAACGCUGGCGGCGUGCCUAAUACAUGCAAGUUGAGCGCUGAAGGUUGGUACUUGUACCGACUGGAUGAGCAGCGAACGGGUGAGUAACGCGUGGGGAAUCUGCCUUUGAGCGGGGGACAACAUUUGGAAACGAAUGCUAAUACCGCAUAAAAACUUUAAACACAAGUUUUAAGUUUGAAAGAUGCAAUUGCACCACUCAAAGAUGAUCCCGCGUUGUAUUAGCUAGUUGGUGAGGUAAAGGCUCACCAAGGCGAUGAUACAUAGCCGACCUGAGAGGGUGAUCGGCCACAUUGGGACUGAGACACGGCCCAAACUCCUACGGGAGGCAGCAGUAGGGAAUCUUCGGCAAUGGACGAAAGUCUGACCGAGCAACGCCGCGUGAGUGAAGAAGGCUUUCGGAUCAUAAAACUCUGUUGGUAGAGAAGAACGUUGGUGAGAGUGGAAAGCUCAUCAAGUGACGGUAACUACCCAGAAAGGGACGGCUAACUACGUG